CCUCUCUCCCUCCCUCUCUCUCUCUCUCUCAAGUGCGAGUACACUUCCUUGCCGUGUUGGACGUGUGAUGAAAAAGUGGCUCGUUCGCGCGUUCCGCCACACCUCCUAUUUCAUCAUCAGCGAGCGGUUUAUCCUCUCCAGUCUGCGCCUGCUCUCUCCUCCCGUCCUCCUCUCUUUUCUCUCUCUCCGUUUUGCUCACUCCAUACUUUCAACUCCGGCUGCACGCAAGGGGGAGACUCGGGCUCUGCGGGGGGAAAAAAAAAAGAAAAAGAAAAAAAGGUCUGCUGCUAUUUCUACAUUCAGGCCCUCCCCAUAGGCCGCCCUCCCCAUAGGCCGCCCUUCCAUAGACAGACGCUUUUUUUUCACUACUAGCUGGAUUUUAACCCUCUGUCUGCAACUAGCUGCACAACAGCUCUGCAAAACCUGGCAACAAGUUGCUUUUUGAGGGCCUUUUUCUUCUUUCCCGCAUGAUGAUUUCAGUAUGCUAUGGAUUUUUGCCGAUUAGUUUAAUUCGGGUUUAAAUAUUGGACAAGAAUUUCCACCUCAGGUUUGUUAUGUUUUUUUCCGUCGGUGAUUUCUCAGCUGUGUUUAUUUGAUUUCUUCGUAUUUCGGAGCAAAAUGUUCUCCGCGCUCGGCUCCCUCCUCGAGACGGGCCCUCUUCCUCCUGGAGCUUUGGGCGCCAUUCCUGUCGGGCAACUGUUUGUACGGCCUCGUGCCCAUCGUCCUGGCGACGUGGGUGACAAGCAGGAGAAGGGGUCCUGUCUUCGAGCGUGUUGCACAUCUGCGUGUUAAAGACGACCCUCGGCAGUGAUACAGACUCAAACCUCCUUCAAAGGACGCAGAACAUUUGGCCAAUCAGACCCUAGUCAAGCAGAACAGACCCAGACAGUAUCCUGUUAUUACGUCCCUCGACAAGACGACAAGCCACGGUGAGACCUGCUGUCUGCUCUGCUGCGGAUCUACACCUACUCUUCCAACCUCCUCCAGACCUGACACACUACAGAGUGUGGUGUGUGUGUGUGUGUGUGUGUGUGUGUGUGUGUGUGUGUGCGUGCGUGUGAGAGUACUGGUGGUCUGUGUGUGCGUGUAGGUGUGUGUAUGUGUGUGUUUACCCGAAUCGUGGCCAGGGGCACUAGGACCCAGCGCAGCGCAGGGGGCUGAGGAAGCGACGGCCCUUUGGGGUGAGGUAGUAGGUUGUAUAGUUUUAGGGUCACACCCUUCCUGUCAGAUAACUAUACAACUUACUGUCUUUCCUGAAGUGGCUGUAAUGUCACCGUUCAUGGGGAGCAGCUGGGGUCUGAACCCUGGCAGGAAAUGUCACCGUCCUGUGACAGUGUCCACUUGUGUCGUGUGAUGGGAUGAACACUGCUUUGACUGACCCGAUGGUGUUGUACGUUCGUUGCUGUCUUUCCCCUGUGUGUGUUGCGUACGUACAGUAACGUGUGGUUUACAAGUGUACAGGUGUUUUUAAGUCGUUCGCAUUGGAUGAUUUCACCCUCGCAAUCGAAAUAAAAAUGUAUUUGGAUGUGGAACGAGGACAUGGCAACAUCUCGACUCCAGGGGCCUUCCCUCCCCCUACGAUGUUCGCACAGGGUGAGGUAGUAGGUUGUGUGGUUUCAGGGUAGUGAUUUUGCCCCUUCAGAAGAUAACUAUACAACCUACUGCCUUCCCUGGAGGGCAACAACACUUCUCCAGACCAAUCACAGGGGGCGACAUCCACAAACAUUUGAAUGGUCCUCCGGCUCCCAGGAUCGAAAUGAGGUCAACUGUCUGCCGUGUUUGAACCCGGUAAAUGUCUGUUCUGCAGCACGUGGUGUCUGCAGUGUGCAGAGACUCAGGUAAUGACAGUGUGUUUUCAGCUACAGCAGCAGCAAUGUGACGUCAAACAAUCAAUAAAACACAUAAGGCCGUUUGCAAAUGGA